rnacentral:rRNA from 1 species
AAGGUUUCCAGAGGAAGGCUCGUCCGCUCUGGGUUAGUCGGGUCCUAAGCUGAGGCCGACAGGCGUAGGCGAUGGAUAACAGGUUGAUAUUCCUGUACCACCUAGUAUCGUUUUAAUUGAUGGGGGGGACGCAGUAGGAUAGGCGAAGCGUGCUGUUGGAGUGCACGUCCAAGCAGUAAGGCUGAGUGUUAGGCAAAUCCGGCACUCGUUAGGCUGAGCUGUGAUGGGGAGAGGAAAUUGUUUCCUCGA